rnacentral:lncRNA from 1 species
AAAUGCAGCCCGGCGGACGUGCAUUUCCCCCCAGCUCUGAAAGAGGCGUGACUAAUUGACCUUGUAAACUGCUUUGAGAUUAAUGGACAACAGGCAGAGACCUGGCUGCGACCUGCAUCUUCCUGAACAGAUGACAGGCACACCACAGCACAGUGAGGUUUGGCCUCCUCUCGCAGCAGCAAGGCGAUACAAACCGGAGAGCUGAUGACUGCAGGCCAGAGGGUGGCAACGAUGUGCCACUUAGGACACGGCAGGUUACAAUCUAAAGGAAUCACUUGAC